AUUUGACCCACCCAGGCCGCAGUGUUGCCUUUCGAACGACUCUUCCCGCAUGUUCAAACAACCGAGACAACUGGGAAGGAGGGAGGGUGGCAGUGUUAUGGGGCUGGCUACGUUUAAGGCUGGUAGGGUUAUCCAUGUGGUCUUGUCGAUGGAAGCCUGAGUAGAGUGGGUAUUAGCAAGUAUUUGUUGUCCGAAUCUUAUGGGAUUCGUUAAGUUGUUUUUUUUUUUUUUUUGUUAAAGAAAGCUUGUAUUUAAGUAAUCGUACUAUCAAUUGAAAUGGCAUCAGAAAAUAUAGCCAACUUUUAUUGGAGGAUAGACUAGAGCCCCCUCGAAGUGGUUCACUUUCCAGUAAUUAAUAUCUAGUCCCUUACAAGUAGAUCAAAAUUUCUCCGAACUCGCGGAUAGCCUUGGCGGUUUUGGGGCGACUAGUGAGAACAUCUCCUGCAUGGCGCACUCUUGCCUCGCCGAAAACCGUAACCCCUCUUCGCCCUCGCUCGCGUGUCCUUCCUCUCCGCCUUUACCACAGUCGUUUCAUGCAUAUCGAAGUGUUCUUGGUUCAAUUUAGAGAUCUACUGAACACAAGAGUCAAUCUAAUGCAUCUGAAGUUCUGCCAAAGAGGUCGGCACCUGAUGCUUGGGGACCGUAUUCUGUCUUUCCAUUUGUCAUGGUUGGUUUGUUUGGAGUUGGAGUGGUUGAAUCGGCUUAUGCAGAUGGUGAUGAGGCUGCUUUCAAACCUCCUUUGCCAUCAGAAUCUCCUCCAAGUUAUGAGGUCUUGGAAGAAACUGCCAAGAAAGAACGACGGCGGAUUGAAGAGUUGCUUAGAAGUAAAGGAAUGCAACGUGGUUCUUAUCCUCGCUUUACUGUGGCAGUUAACGGCCAAAAGUGCAGUUGCUUGGCAACUAACACUUAAUCCUCUCGAGAAAAGGAAGGAAGUUGAUGGGGAUGUGGGGUAUUCAAAAGAUAUAAAUUCACAAUAUGCAGAUCUAUGCAUCCUCAUAUUCCGUUCACUCGUUAGCUCAGAAAAAGCUGAAAUUGAAUUCAUAAAGCAGGGGAGCUUGACUCCCAAAGAGCUUGAUGCUUUCGUGUCUGUUUUAGAACUAGCAGCUCGAAGGUUGGCACAAAAUAAGACCUUAGAAAGAAGACAAGGGGAAGGUACCGCAUGUGUGCCAUCUGCGAAAAACUCAGUUCCUGACCGCAAGUCCGCGGGAGUGAGAAUUUACGGACUCAAUGAACCCCGCAGUUAUUCCCCGAACAAAGAGAUAUCAUGGGACAAUAUUGCUGGGUAUGAUCAGCAGAAACGGAUUUCAAGGACUGGGUAUAACCUAUGCUACCAGCCAGUAAAACUAAAUCAAGAGAUAGAGGAUACAAUACUGUUGGCUCUGCAAAGUCCUAAAGUAUAUGAUGAUAUCGCUCGCAGGACUCGGCGUAAGUUUGAGUCAAACAAGCCUCGAGCUGUGCUCUUUGAAGGACCACCAGACUUCAGAAUUCAGUUUAAGGAUGGGACAAGAUUACUGAUAAUGCAUGCUCAAUUUCAGAUUGAUUAUUUUUCUGUAGCUCGUGAUAGUGAACUGUAUGAAGCUACACACAGAAUCUUAUCCGUGUUAUUGCGGCAGGAAAAGAAAGUAGUUGUAAUUGCAGCAACAAAUCGAAAGCAAGACCUCGAUCCUGCUUUAAUUUGUCGUUUUGAUUCAAUGAUUACUUUUGGCUUACCUGGUCACCAAAAUCGUCACGAAAUAGCAGCAAAGCACCUUACAAAACGUGAAUUAGAAGAAUUUGCGACAGUUACAGAAGCUGCUCUUAUAAUGGACUAGAAGAUGGAUGGUGCUACAGAAAAACCCCGAGGCUCAUGAAAUGCACACGUGGAAAUUGUGUGACAUAAUAAAAAGGUAACACAGCAGUUUCUCGUUUGGGCGGACUUCAGUGACGUGAAAUGAGCUGGACAGCAGGGGAAAACAAAGCAGAGAAAGCUUGAGCGACGCAGGAUUGAGAGACCCUAUUUUUGGUUUGGCUUCUAGCAGAACGACAAGGAGAGAAAAGGACGCAGCAAGAGGUGAGGGAUGUAAGAGGCAAAAAAAAAAAAAGGAGAGUUUUAUUUUCUUGCUUUUGAAAGGAACAGCGGCAGAGGCUUUAACUGGAAGCCAGCAGAAAGCAAGGGGAGUAAUUAACGGAGAGCUGGUUUUUCCGAAAACGGACUGGGGACUCUGAUGGGAGUAACACGCCGAACGCUGCAGAAGAAAAAAGCCUGGGUUGGGUCUUCCUUAGGAACGGGCAUGCGGCACUUUAUUUUUUGGAGGAAAAUGGAAGAGGAUUGGUUUUGACUGGCUUUUGACGGAGAAGUAGUAGACACAGGGUCUUUUUCAUUUUCGGAGGGGAAACCAAUUGGCUGCAGGGGAUUUUCUGGGUUUGUGGGGAGAGACGCUAGGCAGUAUGGAGGGGGUACUUUUGGAAAAAAAAAAAAAAAAAAAAAAGGCUUCUCUUUUUUGUUUUGGACGCUGGGAAACGAAAAAAGAGAAGAAGAUACUAUCUUCUCUCCACUUUUCUCUUGGGGUUUUUUUCUAAUGUUAAAUUUUGUAUUUUAUUUUAA